CAAGAUGUAGCUAAAACAGUAAAGCAUCUCUCUUACACUGAGAAGUCGUCCGUGCAAGUCGAACCAUUUUGA
rnacentral:tRNA from 1 species